UACGGAGGAUGCAAGCGUUAUCCGGAGUGACUGGGCGUAAAGAGUUGCGUAGGUGGUUUGUCAAGCGAAUAGUGAAACCUGGUGGCUCAACCAUACAGACUAUUAUUCGAACUGACAGACUCGAGAGUGGUAGAGGUAGCUGGAAUUUCUAGUGUAGGAGUGAAAUCCGUAGAUAUUAGAAGGAACACCAAUGGCGUAGGCAGGCUACUGGACCAUUUCUGACACUAAGGCACGAAAGCGUGGGGAGCGAACCGG
rnacentral:rRNA from 1 species